GCAACUCAUGCUGAGGGAGGGUCACAAAAGUGGGGUUAAGGUCACGUAGCUCUGUCCUUUGAGAGCCCUGGGAGCCCUGGAGAUGUGCGGGAAAAUGCUUGUCCUGCCCAGUGCAGUGCAGAGGGCAGAGACAGCAGGUUGAUCGUGUCCUGAGCCGAAGAUGUUCCCAGAACAGCAGAAAGAGGAGUUCGUGAGUGUCUGGGUCCGAGACCCCAGGAUUC
rnacentral:lncRNA from 1 species